rnacentral:rRNA from 2 species
GGGUUGUGAGGUUAAGCGACUAAGCGUACACGGUGGAUGCCCUGGCAGUCAGAGGCGAUGAAGGACGUGCUAAUCUGCGAAAAGCGUCGGUAAGGUGAUAUGAACCGUUACAGCCGGCGAUGUCCGAAUGGGGAAACCCAGUGCAAUUCGUUGCACUAUCGUUAACUGAAUACAUAGGUUAACGAGGCGAACCGGGGGAACUGAAACAUCUAAGUACCCCGAGGAAAAGAAAUCAACCGAGAUUCCCCCAGUAGCGGCGAGCGAACGGGGAGCAGCCCAGAGUCUGAAUCAGCUUGUGUGUUAGUGGAACGGUCUGGAAAGUCCGACGGUACAGGGUGAUAGUCCCGUACACCAAAAUGCACAGGUUGUGAACUCGAAGAGUAGGGCGGGACACGUGGUAUCCUGUCUGAAUAUGGGGGGACCAUCCUCCAAGGCUAAAUACUCCUGACUGACCGAUAGUGAACCAGUACCGUGAGGGAAAGGCGAAAAGAACCCCGGCGAGGGGAGUGAAAAAGAACCUGAAACCGUGUACGUACAAGCAGUGGGAGCACCUUUAUGGUGUGACUGCGUACCUUUUGUAUAAUGGGUCAGCGACUUAUAUUCUGUAGCAAGGUUAACCGUAUAGGGGAGCCGCAGGGAAACCGAGUCUUAACUGGGCGUUAAGUUGCAGGGUAUAGACCCGAAACCCGGUGAUCUAGCCAUGGGCAGGUUGAAGGUUGGGUAACACUAACUGGAGGACCGAACCGACUAAUGUUGAAAAAUUAGCGGAUGACUUGUGGCUGGGGGUGAAAGGCCAAUCAAACCGGGAGAUAGCUGGUUCUCCCCGAAAGCUAUUUAGGUAGCGCCUCGUGAAUUCAUCUUCGGGGGUAGAGCACUGUUUCGGCUAGGGGGUCAUCCCGACUUACCAACCCGAUGCAAACUACGAAUACCGAAGAAUGUUAUCACGGGAGACACACGGCGGGUGCUAACGUCCGUCGUGAAGAGGGAAACAACCCAGACCGCCAGCUAAGGUCCCAAAGUCAUGGUUAAGUGGGAAACGAUGUGGGAAGGCACAGACAGCCAGGAUGUUGGCUUAGAAGCAGCCAUCAUUUAAAGAAAGCGUAAUAGCUCACUGGUCGAGUCGGCCUGCGCGGAAGAUGUAACGGGGCUAAACCAUGCACCGAAGCUGCGGCAGCGACACGAUGUGUUGUUGGGUAGGGGAGCGUUCUGUAAGCCUGCGAAGGUGGCCUGUGAGGGUUGCUGGAGGUAUCAGAAGUGCGAAUGCUGACAUAAGUAACGAUAAAGCGGGUGAAAAGCCCGCUCGCCGGAAGACCAAGGGUUCCUGUCCAACGUUAAUCGGGGCAGGGUGAGUCGACCCCUAAGGCGAGGCCGAAAGGCGUAGUCGAUGGGAAACAGGUUAAUAUUCCUGUACUUGGUGUUACUGCGAAGGGGGGACGGAGAAGGCUAUGUUAGCCGGGCGACGGUUGUCCCGGUUUAAGCAUGUAGGCUGGUUAUCCAGGCAAAUCCGGAUAAUCAAGGCUGAGGUGUGAUGACGAGGCACUACGGUGCUGAAGUAACAAAUGCCCUGCUUCCAGGAAAAGCCUCUAAGCAUCAGGUAACAUCAAAUCGUACCCCAAACCGACACAGGUGGUCAGGUAGAGAAUACCAAGGCGCUUGAGAGAACUCGGGUGAAGGAACUAGGCAAAAUGGUGCCGUAACUUCGGGAGAAGGCACGCUGGUGUGUAGGUGAAGUCCCUGCGGAUGGAGCUGAGACCAGUCGAAGAUACCAGCUGGCUGCAACUGUUUAUUAAAAACACAGCACUGUGCAAACACGAAAGUGGACGUAUACGGUGUGACGCCUGCCCGGUGCCGGAAGGUUAAUUGAUGGGGUUAUCCGUAAGGAGAAGCUCUUGAUCGAAGCCCCGGUAAACGGCGGCCGUAACUAUAACGGUCCUAAGGUAGCGAAAUUCCUUGUCGGGUAAGUUCCGACCUGCACGAAUGGCGUAAUGAUGGCCAGGCUGUCUCCACCCGAGACUCAGUGAAAUUGAACUCGCUGUGAAGAUGCAGUGUACCCGCGGCAAGACGGAAAGACCCCGUGAACCUUUACUAUAGCUUGACACUGAACAUUGAGCCUUGAUGUGUAGGAUAGGUGGGAGGCUUUGAAGCGUGGACGCCAGUCUGCGUGGAGCCAACCUUGAAAUACCACCCUUUAAUGUUUGAUGUUCUAACGUGGGCCCCUAAUCGGGGUUGCGGACAGUGUCUGGUGGGUAGUUUGACUGGGGCGGUCUCCUCCCAAAGCGUAACGGAGGAGCACGAAGGUUAGCUAAUCCUGGUCGGACAUCAGGAGGUUAGUGCAAUGGCAUAAGCUAGCUUGACUGCGAGCGUGACGGCGCGAGCAGGUGCGAAAGCAGGUCAUAGUGAUCCGGUGGUUCUGAAUGGAAGGGCCAUCGCUCAACGGAUAAAAGGUACUCCGGGGAUAACAGGCUGAUACCGCCCAAGAGUUCAUAUCGACGGCGGUGUUUGGCACCUCGAUGUCGGCUCAUCACAUCCUGGGGCUGAAGUAGGUCCCAAGGGUAUGGCUGUUCGCCAUUUAAAGUGGUACGCGAGCUGGGUUUAGAACGUCGUGAGACAGUUCGGUCCCUAUCUGCCGUGGGCGCUGGAGAAUUGAGGGGGGCUGCUCCUAGUACGAGAGGACCGGAGUGGACGCAUCACUGGUGUUCGGGUUGUCAUGCCAAUGGCACUGCCCGGUAGCUAAAUGCGGAAGAGAUAAGUGCUGAAAGCAUCUAAGCACGAAACUUGCCCCGAGAUGAGUUCUCCCUGAGACUUUAAGUCUCCUGAAGGAACGUUGAAGACGACGACGUUGAUAGGCCGGGUGUGUAAGCGCAGCGAUGCGUUGAGCUAACCGGUACUAAUGAACCGUGAGGCUUAACCUUACAACGCCGAAG